rnacentral:lncRNA from 1 species
AACUCCAUUUGAACCGGAAUCGUGUUUAUUUUAGCUCCUAUUGUAUCCCCAGGGCCUAGCACAGUGUCUGGCAUUCAACAGACAUUCAAUAAAUCAUUGAUUAAUAACGAGAAAAAUGAAUGAAUGAAUGAAUGGAGGAACCCAGUUACUUCUUAUGGCUGGAACCUUCACAAAGGCAAUAAAGAAAUUAUAAAUGAAUUGAAUAAACCAGAUGACUCCAUGAGGAGCCAAUGCAUUUUCUAAGUGAAAACAGCACUCCAGCAGCCUGUAAGGAAACGUGUUUAUCUUGAAUGCACCUGGCAGAGACGACA